CGUCUCUGAUGUGUUGGCUCUAAAGAAACAUAUCAGCAAAGUGGAUCAAGAAAAUGCAUCCGUAGUGCUCUUUGGUCCACUUCGCUGAAUCUGCGUGGCCACUAACAAGCACAACAAUUGCAAGGACUCUGUCCAAGAUCGCCUGCUCCAGACGCAUACGAAAGUGUAAGUGUGGAGCUUGGCCCCUUCUCUAUGCUCACAGUAUACGGUUAUAUCAGCUUGUAUAAUUCUUCUAAAGAUGCCUGACAACCAAGAAGGAUCUGCAUGUGUCGGCUAUUCGUUGUUCUCUUCAAUUUGAUAAAUUCCAUUGGUUAAAAUGGAAGCUAAAAACAAUUCACUUUUCAAUAAGUGACAUCAGACUUUCCUCUCAAUGUACGUACAGUUGCUGCUGCAUACGGUAGCAUGUUCUAUAGAGGCCCAUCCAACUAGAGGCUAGAAUUUCUCAGUACUAGUAAAUAAAACUUGAUGACAUUGCCAUCAACUAGAGAAACAACAAGUGAGCAUUUGAAUAGAGAGAAUCUCUCACGGUGAAGUUUAAAUAGAGAGAUCAAUACAAGUUCUAUUUCUGACGCGGGCACAUCCACAAAGACUCCCUCCAUCUUGUAUGUAACAUAGUACAUUCUAACAUUUAAAAUUUGUAGUCAAAUAAUAUAAGACAUUCUAGAGGACAAAACCCAGAUUUGCAUUAAAUAAUUUUUAUUAAUCAGGAAAUAAAAUAAGGAUACAAGCGUCUUUUAUAUUCUCUCUUAGUGUGUCUUAAAAUUCUUAGAAUGCACAAUAUUAUAGGAUAGAGGGAGUAGCUAGCUCUUACGGUCAACUCAUAACAAAAAAAUAAACAUAAUUUUUUAUCAAAUUUGGUUGCCCUCUUGCCUCCCAGAGACGUCGUAUGCUACACUGAUAUAAAACUACCACAUCAUAGUUGGUCUUCAGCAUGAGAAGAAUUAUUGGUACGAGGAAAGGAAACGAUUUAGGCAUCUAGGCAUCUGCAUCCAAUCCAGAUUUUCUAUAUCACCUAUUAGCUCUAAAUCACCACUAGUGCACAGUGAUACUUCAGACAACCUGACUGACGGCACUAUUACGAGUUGUGAACUUGUCAUUGAAGUAAACAAUUGUGAUUAUUCAUGAGUUUUGAAGCUUGUAAACUUCUGUUUCUAAAUGGUACUAUUUAUGGAAAGUCAAAAUGAGACCCUUAUCAAGAAUACUAUGUUCAAACCUUUUUUUAUGAAUAAAACCUGCAUUCAACUGUAAAAAAAUGGUACUGCCAGCAUGUAUUGAGAACAGAGACCACAUCCACUGUAUAUCACACGCACCACAACAACCCCUAUGCCUAUCACAAGCUAGGAUGCCCCGUCUUCUCGACUGCUUGCGGACCACAGGCAUCGGAGAUAUCUAGCUGGGGUCCCUGCAACCGUCAGUUCAACUUUGGUGACCUUAGGGGAUGACAUCAUCACUGGAGAAGUGCCAAGGAGCUUGCCACAGGACUCUGUGCAAGCAUGCCAGAGAGAGAUCUAGCAUGAGACAGUGCUGCCUCUUUCAUUCCGGAGACCACCCAGCCCUAAAAACCGAAUACUAUACAUUCUACGGGUAAUUUCAUCAACUUUCUAUUGAAAGAUAUAGGAGGCAAAGAUGUGGAGUGGUUGUGUCUUUUGACAAGAAGGGCGCUGCACUUUAAAACAGGGGUGUGGUUGCUGGUCGUGGUAGAACUGUAUUUCUCAUUGAUUCUUGAUGGUAUCUGGGCGUACAAAAACACUAUUGCACAGAACAUAUUUAGAGGCAGUGGAAAUUUUUUUUAGAUAAUGAAUAAAAAUAUCCGGCCUCUACAUCCGGAGAUGUACACAGCCAAUUAUUAUAAAAUACCGAAGCAAAAAAGAAAGAGCAGUCUCUGGCCUUG
rnacentral:lncRNA from 1 species